CCUAGAUCCCUGUGCUCAAGAGCACCUUUCCAAGCCAGUUAGCAAUACAUGCUUAUUGCUGCCUUCCUGCAUGUGGGCAGCUGCCAGCAGGAGGGAGGCUGAAGCAGCUCCUCUCCCUCACAGCGAUCACGGGGGAGCUCAGUGUGGCACCACCCCUGCUCCCCGAGAUGCCCUGCGCAAUGGCUGUUGCCAGCAGCCCUGCUUUUGUUUUCCAGCCUUCCUUUCUCAGAAAUGUUUUCAUCCCAACUGAGCUUUGAAACUGGCAUCCUGCGGCUGCGCGUUUCCUCCUGCACCCACAACCAAAGUCCUGGCCCCAGGAGCAGCUGCCCUGGUCCCUGCAGGCUGACAGCUUCUGGCUGCUUCGGUGGAGGGCAGCACCAACAUGGGGGCUCCCUGGCGCUUUGCCAUCCCAAAGCUGGAUGGCUAAGGUGGCUCAAGUCUUACAGGGCCACAGUCAUCAGAUUGACCAGCGUUUCUCAGAUUUACCUGAAAAGCAGACAGGACGACAGCCUUCAAACCAAUGUUACCAUUCACCAGCCUGGGGAGGGUUGUUGGUAAACGUGCCCCAUCCACUCGCACGCAGAAGACCUGUUGCUGAAGAGCGCUCAAGAGUCACCUCCUCCUCCUACAGAAGACGGUCCCCAUCUGGGCUCCCUUUCGUCCUCCUCUGACUCUCAACAACAGCAGAGCCUGACAAGCAAACAUGCUGCUGCUGGCAGCACUUGUGGCCACAGCCUCCUGGUCUUAUGGAUUUGCACAAAUAUAUCCUGUGCAGAGCCCUAUAUCCGUUACCAAAUCCCAAAGAAGUGCAAGAAUGACAUGUGAAAUCAAAAUUUCGCAGGAAAUGUUUGAAAGCUUAUCCAUACACUGGUAUCGACAGAAAGAGGGUAGAGCUCCAGAGAGGGUCCUGCACUUCUCAGAAGGGAAACUUGUAGUUGAAACUGGCUUUCUAGCAAAAAGGUACAUGGUUGAAAAAGUUUCUAGGCAGAAACGAUAUAUUCUUACAAUUAAAGAUGUGAUUCCAGAUGACGCCGCUACUUACUACUGCGCUUACUGGGACGCUCACCAUGACAGAAACUCAAAGAUCAUCACAGCAAAAAGCCCUCAACAGCUGAAGUACAGGUGUCACGAAAUGAGGGGUUUAUGGUUGCUCAAAGAAUCACCAUCAAAGGUAUCAGCAAAAGCAGUUCUACUGUGCAUUUAUAAAGUGUGACUUCACAGUCUGAUGGCAAGGUUCACUCAAUUACUUGCCUCAUGGCUGAAACGUGCAAAGGAAGAUUGAGGUAAAAGCAAGCUGAAAGGAUUAAUACGAGACCAAAGGCACAAAAGGGUAAGGGAGACAAUAGGACUGACAGCAUUUCCUAUAUCAAUUUAUACUCACACGCACACACAUGGAUAUAUAAAGGUGCCUGUUAACAAGUCCCCUGGGGCUCAGGGAAAUGUUCCUGUCAGAUGUCUUGGCAUUUCUCAGCAGGU